GAGGGUAUAGCUCAGUGGUACAGCACAUGUUUAGCAUGCAUGAGGUCCUGGGCUCAAUCCCCAGUACCUCCA
rnacentral:tRNA from 1 species